rnacentral:lncRNA from 1 species
ACUUCCUGCCACCUGCCUGAGGCUGAACUGGUUCUCCAAGAUUUUCCGGAGUUAGCUGCAAACUGUGAAGUUGCUCCAGUUGCCUCCCAGGCUUGAACCCAGACAUGAGAGCCGCAGGCCGGCCCCAACAAUUUGGCAAACCAACACGGGACCUGGGAAUGGCAGAGAAUGCUAGAAGAAACACUGCUGGUAUGGAGCCCUACAGAUAGAAAAUUCGUACCGGAAUUCGGAGAAGCAACGGGCAAAGGUUGCUAAGGUGUGGUAUGGUCUGAGCUGGAACAGCGGUAACCCGCGCUGGAUCCGCUCAGGUUCAGCAGUGAUAUCAGGAACUAGGAAUGUAACAGGCAGUCGGCCGCAGCUUCCAGAAGCUGCUUUUUAGGCGAGAGAAAUAAAAGGGUUUAAUAAAAAGGGAUUAAAUAAUCAGGCGGAUUGGCCACAGUCGGAAACUGCAUCUGGCUGGAGGAAAAUGUCCCAGAGGCAGAGAGAAACGUUAGGGGAUGCCCUGCAUUUUUCUCUCUAGCCCUUACAGCAGUAGUUCUCUGCUCUCUUUGUGUUGUCUAACGUCUAAUGUCUGGUGCACCGGCCUGUUCACGUGUCAAUUCAUGUAUGUUUGUGUCUAGUUGUCUGAAUGACUGAAUGUUCUGUGAUUCAUGUUAAAACAUAAAUAAAGGCUGCUAAAACUUUAUCUGCUGGUUUAGCAAGAGAGUGGCCACACGCUUUAGCCAGGACCAGGCAGAGCAGGAGGGUCCCUGAUGGAAAAACUGUUUUUUUAAGAAAGGGAGUCUGCAGCCUCAUGGUUUUGGGGUGAAAAAGCUGAUAGAUGUUUUUUCCUAAGAAAAUUCUCUGCAAUCAUGAUUAUUGCGUUUAGCUAAUGACAAAGUGCCUUUUAUUUUAUAACUAUAGCUAGAAAAAUUAAUAUUCUCUGAUUGGUCUAAGUGUAGCCGCUUCUUUUUUUUUUUUUUACUGGUAAUAUGCUCUGUGUCUUCACAAAAGUAUCAGCUCAUAAAUUAUUGGUUAGUAUUAAAUAGUUGUAACAUUGGUAACAGAAGGUUAGCCUUAAAUUGGCAAUUCAGGAAUCUUUUCAAACACGUAGCAUAAGCAGGCCAAAAAACUGGGUCUCCUAAGAUACUUCUAGCUGAGAUAAUAUUUAAUGUGAUUUUUAUCCUAGAAAGUAGAAUUAGAUAGAUUUAAAGCAAUGUCUCUUUAAUGAAGCAUUAAAGCUUGCACUGUCAUGCAUUCAUAGGUAUAAAUUGGCAGCCAAAUCUUGCAAUGUGUAGUAAAGAUUUAAUGUUGAUUCUAAAGUGAUAUAUUGCUUUGAAAUUGGGUAUUGCUUUCCCAAGGCUGUAGAUACUAUUCUAAUGUUGCAUAAGAAACUUAAAAAUCAUGGUUAAAAAUUGCCAGUGUUCCUUUAAGUGCAGCUGGCAGUUUGAUCGCAAAUUUAAGAUUUUAUACUCACCCAUAUAUUGUUAAUUAAGAUAAUUACAAGAGUAAUUAUCUUAUGAGAGCACUAACACAGCUCUCUGUGGCUAUACAGCCAUACUAAGCUCAGGGCAGCCUCAGCGAGGUUUGUGUGACUUUCUUUUGUUUUGCAAAUGGUGUGCCUAAGGAAGUUCUUGAAACUUGCCUCUUGCCUCUCAAGGGAAGUUUACUUAAAAUCCUUGCUCUCACACAAGGAGCUUUUUAGUUCUGGGGAGCAGCUGUUGCUCCAGAAACUAUUCAGAGGCAAUAUCUUUUUAAUACUUAAGGUUUUAGUUUACUUCAGAAGGCUUUGCAGAAAAUAAAGAAAGCUUUUAUAAUUGUUAUCAAUUAUAAUCAAUGGUAAUUAAAUAUUAGCUGCCCAUUUUAGUUAAUGGUUAUUAAAUGUGCCCACAGCAAUUCUUUAGCAGAAUGCAUUGUGACUAUGGGUGUGAAAACCAUAGCUGUCAUAAGCUGACCUUAAGCCUUAUCCUUACUGUAAACAUUUAUCUGGUUCCUAUAAAUCCUUUUGAAG